rnacentral:rRNA from 1 species
GGAAAGAUGAAAAGAACUUUGAAAAGAGAGUUAAACAGUACGUGAAAUUGUUGAAAGGGAAACGAUUGAAGUCAGUCAUACCAACGGGAAAUCAACCUUUUGAGUUUGUUCUUGUGGGUUUCGAGGAGUUUAAAAGCCUUCUGAUUUGUGAGGAUUGGGCUCUUUCGGUGUACUUUCUCGUACGGUUAGUCAACAUCGGUUUUGAAUGUCAUAAAAUGACUGGAGGAAUGUGGCUUCGAUCUCGUAUCGAAGUGUUAUAACCUUUGGUAGAUGUGAUGUUCGAGACCGAGGAUUGCAACGGAUACCUUCCAGGCUAUUCGUCUGAUCUCUGAUACGUUGCCUUGAUGUCGAAAGCGUGCUUAUGAUGUUAGGGUAUUACGGUCAAAAGGUUAGAACGGAUUAAAUUCGUUAAGGAUGUUGACGUAAUGACUUUAAACGACCCGUCUUGAAACACGGACCA